rnacentral:rRNA from 1 species
UACGUAGGGGGCAAGCGUUGUCCGGAUUUAUUGGGCGUAAAGAGCGUGUAGGCGGUUUGGUAGGUCCGCUGUGAAAACUCGAGGCUCAACCUCGAGACGCCGGUGGAAACCAUCAGGCUAGAGUCCGGAAGAGGAGAGUGGAAUUCCUGGUGUAGCGGUGAAAUGCGCAGAUAUCAGGAAGAACACCCGUGGCGAAGGCGGCUCUCUGGGACGGUACUGACGCUGAGACGCGAAAGCCAGGGGAGCAAACGGG